rnacentral:rRNA from 1 species
UACGGAGGGUGCGAGCGUUGCGCGGAAUCACUGGGCGUAAAGCGUACGCAGGCGGCUCGCUAAGUCGGGUGUGAAAGCCCGGGGCUCAGCCCCGGAAAUGCGCCCGAUACUGGCGAGCUUGAGUACGGGAGAGGGAUAGCGGAAGUCCUGGCGUAGAGGUGAAAUUCGUAGAUAUCAGGAGGAACACCAGUGGCGAAAGCGGCUUCCUGGCCCGAUACUGACGCUCAUGUACGAAAGCGUGGGGAGCAAACAGG